AGCUGCAAGAUUGGAACAACAGGCGGCAGUUUACAUCCCCCGAUGAUUUUCAUGCUGAUGGGGUGAAUGACAUUUUUAUCUCCCAGGUUGGGACUCCAAUUUGUAUUCCUUCUAGAGACUUCAUUGACAUUGGCCGCAUUGCCUCCAUUGAAAAUAACCACACGCCAGUUGAUUAUGCAAAGAAAGGGCCGAAAGGAGCUAUUAAGUUGCUAUAUUUCAUACUUGAAAGAAGUCUUACGGGAAUGUUUUUACUUGUUUAGGAGUCUUUGCAGUUUUUAUACUGUUUAUUCACCAAUGAUUUGCCUCAAGAUGAAUGAGCAGCCGGGAAAAUCUCUUGGAGUGAUUGGCCUUGGUGGACUUAGUCACAUGGCUGUUAAAUUUGGAAAGGCUUUUGGUUUGAAUACAGUGUUUAGCACCAGCAUAUUUAAGAGAGAUUAGGAAGAAAGGGUUUAAGGGAGUUGAGAAUGGGGAUAAUGCUGUUUUGGAUUGUUUUUCACAUGAACAAAUCACAAAACUUGCAUCACAUGGGGAUAAUGGACAUAAUGGCAUUUUCCCUCUGAAUCCUAAUUCAUCCAAUCUAUAUCAGAGGUUUCAUGAAAACAGCAUUGUCAAUUGUAUGCUAGAGUUGCAAAAUUUAAAAAACAAUCUUGUUCUAGGAUUAUGCAAGAAGCUUCAAGCUGCUGGAUGGCCUAUAGUUUUGCUAUCAAGGGGGAACGGAUCAGAUAGAAAUGUCACUGUUGAUAAUCUUGGCAAAGCCAGAUUCAGAAGUUGUUGGUCUUCCUUGAUGAUGAGGUUUCUGAAGAUAUUCUUGUCGAGAGAGUAGUAGGGCGGAGAUUAGAUCCUAUUACUGGAAAGAUAUAUCACUUGAAGUAUUCUCCUCCAGAGAUAGAAGAAAUUGCAGCACGGCUUUGCCACC